UACGAAGGGUGCAAACGUUGCUCGGAAUUAUUGGGCGUAAAGCGCACGUAGGCGGCUUUGUAAGUUGGAUGUGAAAGCCCUCGGCUCAACCAAGGAAGUGCAUCCAAAACUACAAAGCUUGAGUACUUAAGAGGAUUCGCGGAAUUCCCGGUGUAGAGGUGAAAUUCGUAGAUAUCGGGAAGGAACACCAGUGGCGAAGGGCGGCGAU
rnacentral:rRNA from 1 species